rnacentral:rRNA from 1 species
GCCAGACUCCUACGGGAGGCAGCAGUGAGGAAUAUUGGUCAAUGGGCGCGAGCCUGAACCAGCCAAGUAGCGUGAAGGAUGACUGCCCUACGGGUUGUAAACUUCUUUUAUAAAGGAAUAAAGUGAGGCACGUGUGCCUUUUUGUAUGUACUUUAUGAAUAAGGAUCGGCUAACUCCGUGCCAGCAGCCGCGGUAAUACGGAGGAUCCGAGCGUUGUCCGGAUUUAUUGGGUUUAAAGGGUGCGCAGGCGGCCUGUUAGUCAGGGGGUAAACGCCGGGGGCUCACCCCGGGCGAGCCGUUGAAACUGGCUGUCUUGAGAUGUCGAGAGGUAUGCGGAAUGCGCAGUGUAGCGGUGAAAUGCUUAGAUAUUGCGCAGAACUCCGAUUGCGAAGGCAGCAUACCGGCGGCGAUCUGACGCUGAGGCACGAAAGCGUGGGUAUCGAACAGGAUUAGAUACCCGCGUA